rnacentral:rRNA from 1 species
UGCAGUCGAGCGGGGGUAGCAAUACUUCAGCGGCGGACGGGUGAGGAAUACAUAGGAAUUUGCCUUUAGGUGGGGGAUAGCUUGGGGAAACUCAAGGUAAUACCGCAUGAUGUCGCAAGACCAAAGCGGGGGAUCGCAAGACCUCGCGCCUUUAGAGAAGCCUAUGUCUGAUUAGCUAGUUGGUGGUGUAAUGGACCACCAAGGCUACGAUCAGUAACUGGUCUGAGAGGACGAUCAGUCACACCGGAACUGAGACACGGUCCGGACUCCUACGGGAGGCAGCAGUGGGGAAUAUUGGACAAUGGGCGAAAGCCUGAUCCAGCAAUUCCGCGUGUGUGAAGAAGGCCUUCGGGUUGUAAAGCACUUUAGGUUGGGAAGAAAAAGUUUCCCUUAAUACGGGGAACCUUGACGGUACCAAAAGAAUAAGCACCGGCUAACUCUGUGCCAGCAGCCGCGGUAAUACAGAGGGUGCAAGCGUUAAUCGGAUUUACUGGGCGUAAAGGGUGCGUAGGUGGUUUUAUAAGUCGGAUGUGAAAGCCCCGGGCUCAACCUGGGAACUGCACUCGAUACUGUAAGACUAGAGUUCGGUAGAGGGUGGCGGAAUUUCCGGUGUAGCGGUGAAAUGCGUAGAUAUCGGAAGGAACAUCAAUGGCGAAGGCAGCCGCCUGGGCCUGAACUGACACUGAUGCACGAAAGCGUGGGUAGCAAACAGGAUUAGAUACCCUGGUAGUCCACGCUGUAAACGAUGAGAACUUGACGUCGGCUUGCUUAGCAUGUCGGUGUCGUAGCUAACGCGAUAAGUUCUCCGCCUGGGGAGUACGGCCGCAAGGUUGAAACUCAAAGGAAUUGACGGGGGCCCGCACAAGCGGUGGNNUAUGUGGUUUAAUUCGAUGCAACGCGAANAACCUUACCUGGNCUUGACAUCUAUGGGANUCUGCAGANAUGC